UACGUAGGGUGCAGGCGUUAAUCGGAAUUACUGGGCGUAAAGCGUGCGCAGGCGGUUUGCUAAGACAGGUGUGAAAUCCCCGGGCUUAACCUGGGAACUGCGCUUGUAACUGGCAAGCUGGAGUGUGGCAGAGGGGGGUGGAAUUCCGACGUGUAGCAGUGAAAUGCGUAGAGAUGUGGAGGAACACCGAUGGCGAAGGCAGCCCCCCUGGGCUAACACUGACGCUCGAUGCACGAAAGCGUGGGGAGCAAACAGG
rnacentral:rRNA from 1 species